rnacentral:tRNA from 1 species
GGCGCCAUCUUCUAGUGGUUAGGAAACCGGGUUUUCAUCCCGGAAACGCGGGUCCGAUUCCCGCUGGCGCUA